UGUCGCCCCCACCUCUGUCCUCACCCCCAAACCGUGUCACCCAACACCUCCCACGUGCAUCAUCCAUAUUUAUUUUAUUUCAAUUUUGUUGAAAUAUGAUACAAAUAUUGUGGCAGAAAAUAUAAUGCCAACCACAAUAAAUGCUCCUGAAAGAUGGUUGCAGUUAUAUUUGAUAUGUAGAUGAUUCAAACCACUAACAUUUAUAUCAAGAAGAGUCAUUGCAUAAUAUUCAGUUGAAAUCAGCUGCUGAUAGUUGGAAAACCUUCCCGAUGUAGUCAAGAUCUAAGACACAAUCAAUUGCAUUUGCCAUGACGUGAACUAUAAAGUAUUUGUGGUGGGGAAGAACUGUCAAAUAUUAUAUGUCACAUUUUUGAAAGUUUUAAGACAGAAAUUAUUUCAGUUGGCUGUUUCUUAGGAUGUUCUCUUAAAGUCAUACUGUUGAAUCAUUCAGUGACUUCAAUAACCAGUUCAGUGGAGGUCAUGUUUGAACAAUAGGUCAUGUUUGCUUGGGUGAGUUUGAAUGUUGACAAAAGAGACUUAGACAAUAUGUUAAACAAAACACCUUUUAAAAUGCAAGCUGGAACGAUAGGUCAAAUAAACCAGCCAAAAUAAGGCCAAAAAACUUGCUUUGGGAUGGGUGUGUACGGGGGCAUGGAGGGGCGUCAAACGAGAUGUCAAACACCUGAUGUUGCAAAACUGUUUGGGCUCUGAUUAGAAGGGGUGGGGGCACAUCAUUAGGUCAGAGGCAAACGGGACCAGACCCAGAGCGUGAUAGAUAAGGCGGCCACAGCUCUGAUGUCAUCACCAUAUGCAAAUGAGCUGGUGGCCUUAAAGGAGACCUUUGCGAGCUGUCAGGAGUCUGUGAACAAUGUGGUGGUGUUGGAGACGUGCUGGCUGUCGUAAACCAGAGCAGCGUGGUGAUAGAAAACCUCCAACGCCCUUAAUUAACACUUUUUUCUUCAAGAGGAGAGAGUGAGGACAACGCAGACAGACCAGACGUGGAGGUUUAUUCAUUUAGGCAAAGUCAUCAUGGGACAUUGUUUGUUGGUCUUGUACCCUGGACAGGAUAUCAUCAUAUACUGUAAGUUCGUUAUGGUGACACUACAGUAUAGAUGAUGUACUAUCCAGGGUCUCAUUCCCCCUCCAGCUACUAUCAGCACACACACACGCACUGUUGACGGUUGGAAGCUAGAGGGUGGCAAUCUAACCGUUACCAUUACUUCGUUUUAGCAAUGGUAAGGGUUCUAUUGACGCCUCUCAAUGUCAUAGCUACAGUAGUACACACAUGGACAGAUGCUGCUGGCGGUUGGAAGCUAGAGGGUGGCGCUCAAACCGUUACCAUUACUGAGUUUUAGUAAUGGUAAGGGUUCUAAUGCUGCUUCUCAAUGUCACCUGGAGUUGCGUUAAAGGAAACUAAAAACUGGUGGACUGGUCUCUUGUCUUCCUUGUAAGAAGUCGCAUUUGAUUACAACACCUUAGUGAUACCAAGAACCAAAGUUGUGUUUAAGAGCUGAUUUUGAUAUUUUAAUUGUAAGAUGUUUGUUGACUUGUGAAAUAAAGUUUCAAAUGAAAAACCAAAGAAUGACUAUCAAUGUCUUGGUGUACAUCUCACUCGGAAGGUGAAAUACUGUACCAAGGUUACCACCUCAAUGGAUUGACAGGUUACACAUAUAAAAUUGUCUGAAAGCAUACAUAUUAUUAUUUGUUUUUUAUGUAUUUAUAAUUUCAUAUACUCCUUGCAGUGUACAGCUUUUUAAAAGCAGUUGGUUUGUCUAAUCGAAGAUUACCUCUAGCAUUCUGCACUAAACAUACGGUUGUUAGGAGUGUAACUGCGAGUGUAAUCAAUGGAGAGCAGCUGUUUCUGUACACAGUGAACAGAGACAUCCCAGCCCUCUCUCUCCCCCCUUCUUUCUUCUCACUGUCUCUCUCUCUUCAUUGAGACACCCCAGCCCUCACUCUCUUUAUCUCUCUCUCCCUCUCUGUGGCCUUGCUUUAGGCCACAGGGCAUACACUUGUUAUUCAUCAAGAUAGCCUGGAUAGUGACAGCGC